GAAUGAAUCUCGCUGUGUUGUCCAGGCUGGAGUGCAGUGGCACCAUCUCGGCUCACUGCAACCUCUGGCUCCCAGGUUCAAGCGAUUCUCCUGCCUCAGCCCCCUGAGUAGCUGGGAUUACAGGCACGCGCCACCACUCCCAGUUUACACCCCGCCACUCCUGAGCACCGCACACCGGCUUCCUCCCAGUCCCUCAUCUGAGAACUCAUGAAGCCACUUGGAAUCCCUCUCUGCUUUGCCUGGCUCAUUCCAUGUCAAUUUCAGAUCUUCACUUCAGGUCAGCUCCAAGGAGGCUAUCCUUGCCCAUCUUCCUAAAAUAGAGCUCUCAAAACCUGGCUGUUUUCCUUCAGAGCACUGGCCUCCAAUUUAAAUCCCAAGUAAGGUACCUGCCGUCGGCAGAUUUGAGCUUUCUUCUUGGACACCUAAUACCCAGAGUCCUCCAGGCUCCGGUAGAUUGCAAAUGACCUGCUUUCUUUCUGUUCCCGGGCGGCAUCGGACCCGUCGGAGAGUAAAUCCCAAGUAAGGUACCUGCCGUUGGCAGAUUUGAGCUUUCUUCUUGGACACCUAAUACCCACAGUCCUCCAGGCUCCGGUAGAUUGCAAAUGACCUGCUUUCUUUCUGUUCCCGGGUGGCAUCGACCCGUCGGAGAGUAAAUCCCAAGUAAG
ensembl:lncRNA TPT1-AS1 TPT1 antisense RNA 1